rnacentral:lncRNA from 1 species
AUCUAUUGGGGUCAAGAUGGCAAUGAAGGCAGCUUAGCUGACACUUGCAACACAGGAAACUAUCAAUUUGUGAACGUAGCUUUCCUAUCUAGUUUCGGCAAUGGCCAAUCUCCAGUGCUGAACCUAGCAGGCCAUUGUGACCCCAGCGCCGGUACUUGCACCGGCAUAAGCAAUGACAUUAGAUCUUGUCAAAAUCAAGGAAUCAAAGUGCUGCUUUCCAUUGGAGGUGGUGCAGGCGGCUACUCCCUUUCAUCGGCCGACGAUGCAGGGCAAGUUGCAAACUAUAUCUGGAAUAACUUCCUUGGUGGUCAGUCCAGCUCACGUCCGCUAGGCGAUGCCAUCCUAGAUGGGGUUGAUUUUGACAUCGAGUCAGGUUCAGGCCAGUUCUGGGAUGAUCUUGCUAGGGCACUUAAUGGCUUUAGCCAACAAAGGAAGGUAUACUUAGCUGCAGCUCCACAAUGCAUCUUCCCUGAUGCUAAUCUAGACACUGCAAUCCAAACUGGCCUCUUUGAUUACGUGUGGGUUCAAUUCUAUAACAAUCCUUCAUGUCAAUACGUAAAUGAUGCUACCGGUCUCUUGAGUGCAUGGAACCAAUGGACCACAGUUCAAUCCAAUCAAAUAUUCCUGGGACUACCUGCUGCUCCCGAGGCAGCCCCUAGUGGUGGAUUCAUCCCUGCCGAUGUGCUCAUUUCUCAGGUCCUUCCAUCUAUCAAGGGUUCACCAAAGUAUGGAGGCGUGAUGCUCUGGAGCAAGCAGUAUGACAAUGGGUAUAGUGCAGCAAUAAAGGGCAGUGUCUAGAUUUUUUUCAGCCCUGCUCUUCCCCAUGCUGUGUGCUCCUGAUUCCUGAAUAUAUAUAUAUAUAUAUAUAUAUAUAUAUAUAUAUAUAUGCCACAGCAUGUUUGUUCUAAAGAGUGUUUGCGGCGAUCAAAAUAUUAUGUUUACUUAGAUUUCAAGCUAAAAGCUAAAUAAAACGAAAUUAUAGUUCCCUGACAAGGAAAAUAUAAUCAAUUUACCAGUGAAUUCCUUAUAGUGUUUUUUCUUUUUUUUUUCUUUUUCAUCAAGCUCAACAAAAAGUCUUGUGGUUGUGGAGUAACUUUAUGCUUCAAAAGGGGUGUCUAAAUUUUUCCACUCGAUCCAUGGAUGCAAAUCCCUUGAUAUAUUAAUUUGCUGACAUUUUCAAAGGCAAAAUGUGAAAGAAAGAAAAGUUGCCAAACAAAUAAUAUUGAAUCAAUGAGACUAAGGUUAACAGAAAUAAAAUCCGUUUUAAUGGAGGAUGAACAAGAAAUGGAAAUGUUAUAAUCAACUGGGGUACUGUCAUGCAUGACGGGAAAAAAUAGUAGUUCAUAUGCUUUUAGAAAAUUAUAUAUGUAUUAAAUUUUAUUAGUUAAUUACCAAAGCUUUAGUCAUUUCAACAAUAGUUUUAAUAUUUUUAGCUAUAAAAAUAGGUAAAAAUGGUUAAUUUUAAUUAACAAUGAAUUGUUUAAAACAAAAGACAUAUAUUCAUCCAAAAUUUAAUUUAUAUUUUUGAGAUAAAAAGAUGAAUCGUGAAUGUAUUCUCCUAUUUUUCUCAUAUAAUUAGUGAGUAAAUAAUAAACUUUAAAAAAUAAUUAUUAUCUUAUGUAAAUUUUAUACAUAGCUUAGUAUUUUUUUUUUCUUAUAUUAUAACUAUCCAUUGAUUAGCUUUUAAGAAAUAAAUUUAAUAUUUCUCUAAGUUGGUCUUCGAGACUGUGCAUAGGAAAUUAUAGUUUUAUAGCAUUAUUGAGAUUUUUUGAAAGAUUAACUUAGAUUUUUUCCAAAAAAUUAAAUUUGUUAGGUGUAUUUGUAAGGAAUUCACUUUUGUUUUCUAUUUGAUUGGAAUUUGGUAGGUUUAUUUUGUUGAUUGUGUUUGAAAUAUUCAAUACCUAACUAGUUCAAAAAAAUCAUACAUGUAGCCGCCCAAGUAAUCGAUCUGACUUAUAAAGCUGACUUGUUAUUAGAUAAUUUACAAAGCCAGAUAAACUUAAAAAAGUUAAAAUUAAAAAAAAUAUCUAAGUUAGCGUGUUUUUAAGAAGAUAAAAAAUAAAUUACAUAAAAACUCAUAUGAAGUGAACCGGUAAACUAUACAAGUUAAAAGAUAAUCUAAACAAUAGAAAAAAAAAACAUUAUUUAACUAAAAAUUUUAAUAUAAAAUUCAUGAUUCGGAUUAUGAGACUGUGGUAAUUUCAUGAAAAGAAAAUAAAAAAACAUAUUAAAACUCAAUUCUCAAUCAACUCAAUAUUGAAAAAUAAAUUAAAAAAAAUAAAAAAUAACAAAAAAACUCAAGUCAAUCAGAGUUAACAUGUCAAACAUAGAUCAUGAGAUCAAUAUAACCUAAUAGAAAACAAAACAAAACAAGUUAUGAAGCUCAUGAGACCAAUAUAACCUAAUAGAAAACAAAACAAAACAAGUUAUGAAGCUCAAUUCUCAAUCAGUCUAAUAUUGAAGGAUAAAAUUGAAAAAAAAUAACAAAAAAAUACACGAGUCAACUCCGUUUAACCCGUCAAACUCUUGAUUCAAAUCAUAAGACUAAGAUAACAUUAUAAAAAGCAAACCGAAAUAAAUUAUAAAAUUUAAUUCUUAAUCAACCCAAACAGUGAAUGAUAAAAUUAAAAAUAAAAAAAUUUAACUACAAAAAAUAACAAAAAAAACAGAGGCAACCAAGUUAACCUGCAAAACUAGUAACUUGGAUCGUGGAAUUAUGAUAACUUUAUAGAAAACAAAUCAAAAUAAAUUAUCAACCCCAAUAAAUCUAAUAUUAAAAAAUUUAAAAAAAAAGUGCUAAAAAGAGGGAAUCACUGCUUCCCUCCUCACAAAUUCCUGUUACAAUUAGUUUUUUUUAAAAAAAUUAAUAUGGGUGUCCGAACAAGUUUACACGUACCUCAACUAAUCUCAUAUAUCCUAAAAUUAACAAUCAUACAAGCAUAUAGUAUCCCUGUAAUAAUAUUACUUCAUUAUAGUUGUUAAACAUACAUGUCUACUCAUGUUCUAUGUUCUGGCCUUUUCUUUAAGUAGAGCAUGUUUGGUAUUGUGGUUGUUUUUGUGGUUGUGGUUUAAAAAAAGCAGUUUAAUAAAAAGUGCUUUUCGUGAGGUUUGUUUUAAAAUUUGAUGUGUUUAGUUAAAACUGCGGUUGAAAUUAUGGUUGAAAAAAAACAGUUUCUUGUGUUUGGUUAAUAUGCUUUUUGUAUGAUGUUUGAUUGUAAAAUUACCUAAAAGGACAUAUAUCUAUAUAUAUAUAAUGGCAAAACAUUAUUAUUUUAUAAUUAUGAUUACAUAAUCCUUGUACGUUAAUAAAAGUUUUUCAGUGUCCUAUCAAACUAUUUGAAAAAAAUAUAAUAAAAAAUAAUAUUAAUUAAAAUAAAAAUAAAAAUUAGAAUAAAAAAAUAAGUUAGUGAUAGUCCAGGUGACAUAAAUGAAUGUAAAAAAUAUAAAAAAAACACAAACAAGUUUGAGGUGUAAAAUAAGAAAUUCAAUUCUAAAGGUAUUCAAGCAUUUUUAAUGUUCAUGUAAAAAGAAAAUUACAACACAGCCUCUGCACAAACAAGUUUUUUUAAGAGAUUAUUUUAGUAAUACCACUAUUAAAAAAAAAGUAAAACAAAAACAUAUUACUUCAGUUACUUUUGACAAAUAGUCUUUCAUUUUAUUGAAAACUCGUAUUUUUGCUCCAUGGCAAAACAGCCCUCGGAAAGUUUGCAAUGUUAAUUAAAUUUAUACAGUGUUGGUGAGAGAGAGAGGAGAACACAACAACGAAAAGCAGAGCACAGCAACGAAAAGCAAUGGUAAGUUGCUUUUCACAAACUGAGGUUGGUCCUCAGUUUUUAAGUGGGGUCCACGUGAAAAAAAAUACGGUUAGCAUUAACCAAACAUUUUAAAACAACUUUUAAUUUUAACCGCAGCCACAACAGCAGAUCCAAACACCCUCUAGUGAUCCAUCAUCUCGUUUACACUCAGUGACGUUUGAACUUCAAUCUUAUCCGGCUAACACCUAAAUGCUCCUUGACUCAGCUAAGUUGCCUACCUGCCACGUGCUUUGUUUUUUAUUUUCUAAGUUAAUUGAUGAUUUUCUAGCAUAAUUGAAGUCAAUGGUUAACUUGGUGUGUUGACUCAGUUAAGAUACGAUGUUUUAGUUAAAAAAAAAGACCUUCAAAUAUUGUCAUUUUAAAUUUAUUCAAGUUAAUUAGAAUUAAUUUGUUGAAACUUUAAACUAAAUCUUGGAUCGGGACAUUACUAAGAUGGGUUUAUGUAGUGAGGGAAUGUUAUAGUUUUUUAAAGUGUUUUUUAUUUAUAAAAAUAUUAAAAUAAUAAUUUUUUAUUUUUAAAAUUUAUUUUUAAUACCAACACAUUAAAAUUAUUUAAAAUUAAAAAAAUUAAAUAAAUUUAAAAUUAAAAAAUUAAAAAAUCUUUUUAAAGGCGCACAAACAGUCUCUUGAUAUUAAAUUUGUACUAAACAAUGCUCAAAUUAAAGAGAGAGAAAAGAGUUUAACGCAUAACCACUGUAAAAUGUGAAAGGAGUUGUUUUAUUGUUUUUAUUAGUGCUGCUUAAUUAACUUCAUCGAAGUUUUAACAUUUUUCACUUGGCUAGCAUCUGUCUCUGGGCAUGACAACUAGAAUAAUUAAUAAAGUAACAGUCAAACUAUAAGUUAGUCACUAAUUUUUUAAGAAAAUAAUUAAUUGGUCUCUUUAGGGGUACUUGAUAUAGAGUUUCAACUUGUUUUUUAUUAUUAUUAUUAUUAUUAUUAUUAAAAUUUAAUAUUUUUUUCUUCAAAUUAAUUUUUUUUAUUUUUUUUAAAUUAUUUUUAUGGGCUAAUUUUAAAAAUGAAUUUUAAAAAAAUUAAAAAAAUAUUAUUUUAAUACAUUUUCAAAUAAAAAAUAUUUAAAAAACAAUUAUUAUUAUUCUUCCAAACACUCUUGUUUCGAAAAUCAUUCAUUAAUCUCUUGGCAUUUUUUCAUCAUUAACUUAUAAACAAUAAAUACAUUUUUUUUCAAUUAAAAACAAAAAAUGACAACAAAAUAAUUCAAUUAAAAACAAAAAAAACAUUUUAUUGGCAUGUAAGCGUGUAUUGGAUAUUAUAAGAGUGUUACAUCUUGCACGUAUUUAUUCAAGUUACAAGUUCCUUGACAAUUGAUUUAUAUAAAGUAAGUCUUUUGGUGAUUUUAUUUUGUAUGAGUCGGAAAAGUUAGAUAUGUGAUUAUUUAAAUUUGGAGAGGACUAAAUUAAAAUUUAAUUAUGAAGUGAGAAGUGAUGAGCAAGGGGGUCAGUAAAAUGGCUUAAUCUUUUUUAUUUUCACUAAGAAUUUUUUUAAAUACAACAAUAUGUCAAAAAAAUUAUAUAACAUGCGGAGAAAAAAGAAUAUCUAACAUGCGGAGAAGCGUGGGUUAAGUACCUAGUCAUUGUCUAAAACUGUAACUUCUCUGGGUGAAAAAUAAUAAAUUGACUAGUCUUAUGCAAAAUAAAAAAAAAUUUAUAACUCUCAAUCGGGUUAAUUUCAUCCUUGAAAUUUAAAUUCAUACCUAUGUAAGAAAAUAAUCUGGGAUAUUUCUUCUUCAUUUCUGACUCUCUCUCCUAGGUUUCUUCUUCUAUUUGAGAGUUUCUCCACAAUACAUUUACUAACGACACCUUUUUAUUUUGUAAUUCCUUUAUACUUCGGUCCAUAAUUUACACAGGUUGUACCUCCAUAGUUAAAUCUUCUUGUACUUCCAUCGGAAUUUAUGGCAAAAUUCGUGCAGGAUCCAAGUUUGCUUUCCGCAGCAUCGAAACAUGAAACACAUUGUGUAUCCUAUCUAAAUGUGGUGGCAAUAAUAUUUGAUAGGCAACCGUCCCAAUUCUUUCUAUAAUUUUAUAUGCCUCAAUAUACCUAGGUGCUAAUUUGUCUUUCAUUCUAAACUGAAUCACAUGCUUCCAUGGAACAAUUUUUAAAAAUACCAUGAAUGAGAUGUGAUCCAAGAUGAUUGGAUCAAGAUGAAAGUUGUAAUGACAUAUAAUAUAAGUGUUGUUGAUAAUUUGGUACCAACAAAAAUAGAGAAAAUUUUGUCGAAAUUUUCAAAAAAAUAAAUUUCAUAAUCUUAGAUAUAUUAUUCAAUACUUGACAUUAGUAAAUAAAUGUUUGAGAUUUCAUGACAUUAUAAUUUGAGGAAGUUACAAAAAAAAAACUUAUUCUAAGUUAAAUUUCAAAUUAGUAAGUUAUUUGGUAAACUAGUUAGGUUGUAAUGGGUUAAAGUUGUAUUUCUAAGUGUAGUAGCGAUUCUUUUUCAAAGUGUUUUUUACUUGGAAAUACAUGAAAAUAAUAUUAUUUUUUUUUUUUAAAAAUAUUUUUAAUAUUAACAUAUUAAAACAAUCCAAAAUAUUAUAAAAUUUAAUUUUAAAUAAAAAAAAUUAAAAAAUUAUAAAACACGGCUUCAACCGCGAAAUAAAUCAGCACUUCUAGCUAUGAAAUUAUUUCAUAGCCUGCUUUUGAUGGAAUCGCCAAAGUGGAAACCAAUUUCAGACUGCUAAAAAAACAGUCCCUAAUUCCCCUUUGAUUCCAGGAAACUCACUGAGGGACUUAAAUGGUAUCUGCCAAACCGUCCUGGUCCGACUAUUUGUAAAUAGAGAAGACCAGUAUAAUCUUUAAUAACCAUGGCACUUUUUUCUUGUCUACAUUAUUUUUAUGCAGAAUUCUUCUAUACUUUCAAUGAGAACGGCACCAAUUUCUUGCCCACAAACCACGGUAAUCAGACUUUUCUACUAAGACACCUAGACACGCAUGGUCCUCAGAAGCUAUAAAUAUGUUCCGUCUCCACAUUGUUGAUACACAGAACAAGCUUGAGAUCCAAAAUGGCUUGCCAAGCAAAAGCUAUCACCCUUCUUCUAUCCAUCUUAGCUGUCUCCUUAUGCAAACCCUCAGAUGGUGCAGGCAUCGCCAUCUAUUGGGGUCAAAAUGGCAAUGAAGGCAGCUUAGCUGAUACUUGUAACACAGGAAACUAUCAAUUUGUGAACGUAGCUUUCCUAUCUAGUUUCGGCAAUGGCCAAUCUCCAGUGCUGAACCUAGCAGGCCAUUGUGACCCCAGCGCCGGUACUUGCACCGGCAUAAGCAAUGACAUUAGAUCUUGUCAAAAUCAAGGAAUCAAGGUGCUGCUUUCCAUUGGAGGUGGCGCAGGCAGCUACUCCCUUUCAUCGGCCGACGAUGCAGGG